GGGCGUAAAGGGYUCGCAGSSGKUUUAAGUCUGAUGUGAAAGCCCCCGGCUCCCGGGGAGGGUCAUUGGAAACUGGGGAACUUGAGUGCAGAAGAGGAGAGWGGAAUUCCACGUGUAGCGGUGAAAUGCGUAGAGAUGUGGAGGAACACCAGUGGCGAAGGCGACUCUCUGGUCUGUAACUGACGCUGAGGAGCGAAAGCGUGGGGAGCGAACAGGAUUAGAUACCCUGGUAGUCCACGCCGUAAACGAUGAGUGCUAAGUGUUAGGGGGUUUCCGCCCCUUAGUGCUGCAGCUAACGCAUUAAGCACUCCGCCUGGGGAGUACGGUCGCAAGACUGAAACUCAAAGGAAUUGACGGGGGCCCGCACAAGCGGUGGAGCAUGUGGUUUAAUUCGAAGCAACGCGAAGAACCUUACCAGGUCUUGACAUCCUCUGACAAUCCUAGAGAUAGGACGUCCCCUUCGGGGGCAGAGUGACAGGUGGUGCAUGGUUGUCGUCAGCUCGUGUCGUGAGAUGUUGGGUUAAGUCCCGCAACGAGCGCAACCCUUGAUCUUAGUUGCCAGCAUUCAGUUGGGCACUCUAAGGUGACUGCCGGUGACAAACCGGAGGAAGGUGGGGAUGACGUCAAAUCAUCAUGCCCCUUAUGACCUGGGCUACACACGUGCUACAAUGGACAGAACAAAGGGCAGCGAAACCGCGAGGUUAAGCCAAUCCCACAAAUCUGUUCUCAGUUCGGAUCGCAGUCUGCAACUCGACUGCGUGAAGCUGGAAUCGCUAGUAAUCGCGGAUCAGCAUGCCGCGGUGAAUACGUYCCSGGGCCUUGUACACACCGCCCGUCACACCACGAAGAGUUUGUAACACCCGAAGUCGGUGAGGUAACCUUUAAGGAGCCAGCCGCCGAA
rnacentral:rRNA from 1 species